rnacentral:rRNA from 1 species
GAUUGAACGCUGGCGGCAUGCCUUACACAUGCAAGUCGAACGGCAGCACGGGGGUAACCCUGGUGGCGAGUGGCGAACGGGUGAGUAAUACAUCGGAACGUGUCCUGUAGUGGGGGAUAGCCCGGCGAAAGCCGGAUUAAUACCGCAUACGCUCUACGGAGGAAAGGGGGGGAUCUUAGGACCUCUCGCUACAGGGGCGGCCGAUGGCAGAUUAGCUAGUUGGUGGGGUAAAGGCCUACCAANGGCGACGAUCUGUAGCUGGUCUGAGAGGACGACCAGCCACACUGGGACUGAGACACGGCCCAGACUCCUACGGGAGGCAGCAGUGGGGAAUUUUGGACAAUGGGGGCAACCCUGAUCCAGCAAUGCCGCGUGUGUGAAGAAGGCCUUCGGGUUGUAAAGUACUUUUGUCCGGAAAGAAAUCUUCUGCCCUAAUACGGCGGGAGGAUGACGGUACCGGAAGAAUAAGCACCGGCUAACUACGUGCCAGCAGCCGCGGUAAUACGUAGGGUGCAAGCGUUAAUCGGAAUUACUGGGCGUAAAGCGUGCGCAGGCGGUCCGCUAAGACAGAUGUGAAAUCCCCGGGCUUAACCUGGGAACUGCANUUUGUGACUGGCGGGCUAGAGUAUGGCAGAGGGGGGUAGAAUUCCACGUGUAGCAGUGAAAUGCGUAGAGAUGUGGAGGAAUACCGAUGGCGAAGGCAGCCCCCUGGGCCGAUACUGACGCUCAUGCACGAAAGCGUGGGGAGCGAAACAGGAUUAGAUACCCUGGUAGUCCACGCCCUAAACGAUCUCGAACUAGUUGUCGGUCUUCAUUGACUUGGUAACGAGGCUAACGCGUGGGUGACCGCCUAAGAGUACUGUCGCGAGAUUA